GGAUUUUCCGCGGGUAUGGAAGGUAAAUAGACAACGGACAGUGAAUGGUCCACGGAUGUUUGCGUGCAUUAAGACGCAUAGGGCUCCGAUUGAGUGUCGCCCGAUUGUGGAGGGGCGGAGUGCGCCGACUUGUGGGCUUGAGCGAGCAUUGGUCGGAUGGUGUGGUGGUGUCGUGGGGGAGUCGGAGGGCUCCGUGCGGUCCCCAGAGGAUGUUUUUUGGAGCGAGUAAAGAAUGUGUCUGUAAGCGAGAGUAUGACAUGGGCGACUUGUGACUUUCAAUCUUUGUACCCGUCGUUGAGGCUGGAGCCUGUAUGCCUAUAUUUUUGUCGAUUUGUACUGGAGAAUGUUC
rnacentral:lncRNA from 1 species